GAUGAACGCUGGCGGCGUGCCUAAUACAUGCAAGUCGAACGAAAAUUCUUUAACAUUGCGUGCUUGCAGUCACCGACGGACGGUUGAGUGACAAAUGGGUAAGCAACAUGUAAGCAAGCUAUAAAUACGGGAAGGAGGAGACAUGAACACAGAAUCUUAUGACCCAUAAGGUUAGAUAGCGAAUGGUAGUUUUGUUAAAACUGGUAGAUGUACCCGCGUCGUAUUAGCUAGUUGGUAGGGUAACGGCUUACCAAGGCGAGGAUGCGUAGCCGACUUGAGAGGGUGAUCGGCCACAUUGGAACUGAGACACGGCCCAGACUCCUACGGGAGGCAGCAGUAGGGAAUCUUCCACAAUGGGCGAAAGCCUGACGGAGCAACGCCGCGUGGGUGAAGAAGGUCUUCGGAUCGUAAAACCCUGUUAUUAGGGAAGAAAAUGCGUGUAAGUAACUGUUCACGUUUUGACGGUACCUAAUCAGAAAGCCACGGCUAACUACGUG
rnacentral:rRNA from 1 species